UGGAAACUGUCUGACUNGAGUGCAGAAGGGGAGAGUGGAAUUCCAUGUGUAGCGGUGAAAUGCGUAGAUAUAUGGAGGANCACCAGUGGCGAAAGCGGCUCUCUGGUCUGUCACUGACGCUGAGGCUCGAAAGCGUGGGUAGCGAACAGGAUUAGAUACCCUGGUAGUCCACGCCGUAAACGAUGAGUGCUAGGUGUUAGGCCCUUUCCGGGGCUUAGUGCCGGAGCUAACGCAAUAAGCACUCCGCCUGGGGAGUACGACCGCAAGGUUGAAACUCAAAGGAAUUGACGGGGGCCCGCACAAGCGGUGGAGCAUGUGGUUUAAUUCGAAGCAACGCGAAGAACCUUACCAGGUCUUGACAUCCCGAUGCUAUUCUUAGAGAUAGGAAGUUACUUCGGUACAUCGGAGACAGGUGGUGCAUGGUUGUCGUCAGCUCGUGUCGUGAGAUGUUGGGUUAAGUCCCGCAACGAGCGCAACCCUUAUUGUUAGUUGCCAUCAUUAAGUUGGGCACUCUAGCGAGACUGCCGGUAAUAAACCGGAGGAAGGUGGGGAUGACGUCAAAUCAUCAUGCCCCUUAUGACCUGGGCUACACACGUGCUACAAUGGUCGGUACAAUGAGUUGCGAGCCGGUGACGGCAAGCUAAUCUCUGAAAGCCGAUCUCAGUUCGGAUUGGAGGCUGCAACUCGCCUCCAUGAAGUCGGAAUCGCUAGUAAUCGCGGAUCAGCACGCCGCGGUGAAUACGUUCCCGGGCCUUGUACACACCGCCCGUCACACCACGAGAGUUUGUAACACCCGAAGUCGGUGAGGUAACCUUUUAGGGGCCAGCCGCCUAAGGUGGGANGGAU
rnacentral:rRNA from 1 species